rnacentral:rRNA from 1 species
UACAGAGGGUGCGAGCGUUGUCCGGAAUUAUUGGGCGUAAAGAGCUCGUAGGCGGUGUGUCGCGUCGGCCGUGAAAACCUGCAGCUUAACUGUGGGCGUGCGGUCGAUACGGGCAUCACUGGAGUUCGGCAGGGGAGACUGGAAUUCCUGGUGUAGCGGUGAAAUGCGCAGAUAUCAGGAGGAACACCGGUGGCGAAGGCGGGUCUCUGGGCCGAUACUGACGCUGAGGAGCGAAAGCGUGGGGAGCGAACAGG